rnacentral:rRNA from 1 species
GACGAACGCUGGCGGCGUGCUUAACACAUGCAAGUCGAACGAUGAACCCGGAGCUUGCUCUGGGGGAUUAGUGGCGAACGGGUGAGUAACACGUGAGUAACCUGCCCUGGACUCUGGGAUAAGCGUUGGAAACGACGUCUAAUACCGGAUAGGACCUUGGAUCGCAUGAUCUGGGGUGGAAAGUUUUUUCGGUCUGGGAUGGACUCGCGGCCUAUCAGCUUGUUGGUGAGGUAAUGGCUCACCAAGGCGUCGACGGGUAGCCGGCCUGAGAGGGUGACCGGCCACACUGGGACUGAGACACGGACCAGGCUCCUGCGGGAGGCAGCAGUGGGGAAUAAUGCACAAUGAGCGAAAGCCUGAUGCAGCAACGCCGCGUGCGGGAUGACGGCCUUCGGGUUGUAAACCGCUUUUAGUAGGGAAGAAGGGCUUCGGCUUGACGGUACCUGCAGAAAAAGGACCGGCUAACUACGUG